rnacentral:rRNA from 1 species
UAAGCAAGAUGUGAAAUUGUGUGGCUCAACCAUACACACAUAUCUUGAACUGCUAAGCUAGAAUAUGAGAGAGGUAGCUGGAAUUCCUAGUGUAGGAGUGAAAUCCGUAGAUAUUAGGAGGAACACCGAUGGCGUAGGCAGGCUACUGGCUUAUUAUUGACACUAAGGCACGAAAGCGUGGGAGCGAACAGGAUUAGAUACCCUGGUAGUCCACGCCGUAAACUAUGGAUGCUA